UAUAAAUAGAUACACACGAGAUACACACAACUACACAACUGUUCAUCAUCUUGCUCGUUGUUUCUGCGUUCCCAACGAUCUGCAUCUUCUUUCUUGUGGCGUUCCUUCUCUCCGUAAAUGCUGGUCAAUUUGGGGCUGGAUUACAAAAUUUGUAUAGAAGGCAGAAUCCACUUUGCCACGUAUGAGGGUAAUCUGAUUCACAUGACGACCAUAUUUGCCAAGACAAAAAGGACUAUUGCAAGUAGCAUAGAGGAGGUGAAUGCAGUAAAACAAGAGAUAUUGCAACCUUUGAACGAGGAGAUCCAUGAGAUGAGUAUGAAGUUUAAUGAAGUUGGAGAAGGUCAUUCUGGAAAAGGAUUAUUAGUUGACAUAUAUUAUAUUUAUUGAGAAUGAUUAUAUUUUCAAGAAAAGUUUCAUGAGGUGUAGUAGAUUAAAGGACUUGAGGACGAGCGGGCAUGUUAUGUAUUGAAAAUGAAUAGAUUUUAAUGUCUAUAGGAAAAACUCUGUUUUGUCUCGAAAUAUCGUUAAGGGUGAAAUACCAUAUAUAUUUGCGUUUGUCUGGUUUAAAUUUUUGAGUAUGAAAAUUGAAAUAACACAAUAAUU